UAAACUUAACCCUUUAGCCCAUUACAUUAGACCCAAACAAAAGUCCCAACCCAAUUACAUAAAGCCAAACCCUAACCCAUUUUUUAAAAAAAAAAAACAAUUCCUAACUCUUACAGGCCCGAACGGCCCAAAACUGAAGGAAACCUUCGAAACCCUAGGUGUCGCAGCAGUCUCCCACGUAGCCUCCAUGCACAGACUCAAUCCAACUGGCCUCCUGCAACAGACUAACCAAUAUACAGCAAAUAAAAUCAAAGAAAAAUGAAAAUUAGGAUUUUUGUAUUUUAUUUUCGGCUAUAAAAGGGCCGAAUACGACCAAUUGUAAGUGGGGAGGGAGAUAUAGAAGAAAAGAUCAAAAAAACUUCGGAUCUAAAAAUUUUUUAAAGUGAUUUUUUAUUUUGAUUUUCUAUUGUUUCAUUUCAUUCUUUUUGUUUUUUAUUCUCUUUUUUCAUACAUACAAAAAUAAAAAAGGGAAAAGGAGAAAAGACUUUACUUGAACCCAUAGUCGCGGCGUCAGAGAAUCCUUUUAUGUAGUUGAAAUUUGGCUCAAAAAUGGCUGUCAA
rnacentral:lncRNA from 1 species